UGAUGGAGGGCUCGCCAGGGUCCCUCUGACUUUGCAGAGUGGUAAUGACAACUCCAGUCAUUAUCUUCUGCUUCUGAAGGGUCCUGAGAGUGAGUAAGUGUCGGUACACAGUAGGAUUCCCCUAAACUGGGAACAAUAUAAAAAUGUAUGUCUCUCCUGCUGAGGUAUUCUGAGAGACCAUGAGAUGUACAUGAAGAUGCCUUGAAAACCAUAAUUUGAAAGAAAAAAAAAAAGGAGUCUAUGUGAGAUGAAAACACACUUUCCUUAAUUGAAGAAAAUUGUAGCCCAGAGCUCUGGUACUAACCAGUACCCCCCCCCCAGCUGUCUCUCUAGUUGCAUAUAUAGCAGAGGAUGGCCUAGUCGGCCAUCGGAGGAAGGAGAGGCCCUUGGUCUUGCAAAGAUUAUAUGCCCCAGUACAGGGGAAUGCCAGGGCCAGGAAGUGGGAGUGGGUAGGUUGGGGAGCAGGGUGGGGAAGCUAUAGGGGGCUUUGGGGAUAGCAUUUGAAAUGUAAAUGAAGAAAAUAUCUAAUAAAAAAAGAAAAUUGCUAAAUUUGAUGACUCUAAAUACAAAAAAAAGAGAAAAUCAUAAUUUGUACAUAGUUGCUAGGGUGAUUUUAUGUCCUGUAUCCCCCCCUCCAUCCUUUUUUUGGGGGGGAGCUUCCCUCCCACGGUCACACCUUUCCCCACCCCCUCCCACCUCCAUCCAAGGAGUGAAGUGAUUUUCCUAGUGUAUUCAGUCUUGACCCCCGGAUGGCAGGGUCUGGGUUACUGUAUCUGGUUUUUUAGGAAUCUCCAUGUUCCAGCUGGGUUGACUUCUCUGGUCAGACUGGAGUUGCUUAGAAGCAAAUGGACUUCCUACAUAGUAUUCUUUUGGGGGCUGCCCUUGCUGAGAAUCCCUUCCCUUACAGCCAGUCCCUAAAAUACAUAUUCCCUUUUUAAGAAGCGUGCAGUUUGUCUCUUCUGUGUGAGUUUAUGGUGCAUGUGCAGGUGCCUACAGCGGACGUCCAGGAGAGGAUGUUGCAGCCCGUGGGGUUGGUUGCUGGAGGACGCUGUGAGUUAUGGCCGCUGGGAACAGAUUCCUAUCCUCUAGAAGAGCAGUAAGGGCUCUUGACUGCUAAGAGUUCCACACUCCCACCACCACCACCACAUAUGUCUAAAUUUUGUUUACUUGAGCAUAGUGGCUUUGUGUGACUUUAGGGCAGUAGCAUCUAAUAGCAGAAAUGACAGGGCAGUGCAGUGGACAGGCAUCAGCAAAGCUUUGGGAAGGAAAAAGCAGAGUAAAGUAUUAGCACGAGGUAUGUGUCCUCUUCUUGAGACCAAAACUCUUUGAGAUCAGAGACUUCUUACCAUACAAAGUACCUAGCACAUUCCAUCAGUGGUUUUUGACUGCUUGCCAUAAACAUUCUUCCUAGAAUUGUUCCAAAACAAAUAGGAAUUGGAAUGAAGCUUAGCCCCUUGAAGUCUAAGCCCUUACUACAUCCCUAGAACUGGAAGGGUUAGCCGUCUUUGGAAAUCCAACACAUUUCUGAACUAACUUUGAAGCCCUUAGCUGUAACCUGAAAUCUGUUUUACCAUUGAAAAGCUGCCGCCGCCACCCACCACAUAGCAUGUGACAGGGACCAGCAGCUGUAGAUGGCUUCCUGAAAAAAUGGAAGCCAGAGGGAAGCCUGCCAGCUCUGUGGCAGUCAGAAGCAGGGAUCUUCCUGGAGGAAGAGGGGGGCGUGUUGGGGCUGAAUCCCAUACAGGAUUUGAUCCAACCAGAUGCUGAGCUUCUGGGAAAUGACAUAAGGCCCGUUGACCUUUGGUGAGUGGGUCACGCUAUCAAACCAGAAUGGUCUUCCUUUGUGACUAACCAUUCUUUGAUCCUGAGACUUGUCUCUUUAAGUUUUCACAAUGUCUCUGUUCUCUAGCAGACCUCGCCAUGCCUUGGAUUAAGGGGUUUGCCACACCAUGCUUCAUGGUGGAUCUGAGACCUCUAUUCCAUGGGAGGCCAGCUUUCUCCUCCAUAGCACUUGGCAUCGGGAGAAGAGUUAGCCAGCUUGGCAUGUGAAGGGAAAUGGCUCCUUCCUGAGGGCAGCUUCUUCAUCCCUCUCAUCUGGUUCAGAUUGUUCAAGUAAAGCUUUAAACCACACUGCCCUCACGCCAGGCCUCUUCCCAGGUUUCCCCUGUCUGCUAGCUGGCUCUGCUGCCAUCGGAUACACCCUUACACGGAGUGCCUGGCUCUGAAGCCUGAAGGUUCCCCAGGAUCAAAUCCCUGCAAUACGCUUAGGCUUUCUGUACUUUUUUGGUCAUCAUGAGUCCUGGCGUGCUUUUAUCAUGCCCUUUAUACCACCUGAUUAGGUAUGCUGAUAAUCUAAAUCUCCAACUUUGAGGCCAGCCUGGUAACUUCAAAGCCAGCCAGGGCUACAUAGUAAACCCUCUCUCAAUAACAGACACCCCCCCAAAUCCUCUUCUUUUGAAGUAGGCUGUUUUCUUAGAGCUCUAUUAAGCAAACAUGGUGUGAUUUGGGCAUGUGCAGGGGACCCUGGGUAGCCAUGGUUAACAAGGAGUGACUGUACCUAGAGGUGUAUAUAUUAGAAAAUUGUGAUUGGUAAAAUUGUUUUUAUUUUCUUCGAAGUGUCAUUUUAAAAAUAGUGUCCCUUUAAAACAGUCUUCAGUUCACAGAGAAGUUGAACAGCCAGCCUGUAGUCCAGUUUCCUCUGUCCCUGUCUUCACACAUGUGGCCUCUCUGUUGUCAGCAUUCCCCACUACAGUAGCUUCGCCCCCUCCCAUGGAGGAGCACCGGCUUCAAGAUGCUGACUUUAAUUGGGGUAGAAGUCUUCUGCUGGCCCUGGACAGUGCUGAUUUGGAAGCUUGGCUUUGCUUUCCUUGGUCAGGUUGGCUUUUGUCCCUCAGAUCCCUUCCGAAGCCCAUGCAGCAAUGUUAGGGAGCAACCACACGAGGGCAGUAGAGAACCACGACUAUUCAGCUAACUUGCAAAGUCUGAGGAAAAGGCUCCAAGUCAGAAAAAAAGGAUCAAAGAGAGCCAGUCUUCUGAAGGAAGUUGAGGGAAGCAAGUUGUUUCAGCGCAGCAGUGUCUUUCCAAACCUGACACCUGAAGCAGCGCGCUAGCCCGGGGACUUAGCCAAGGUCCAACAGCUGUGCCCCAAAUCCCUCUCCAACCAGAGGCUGCUCCCCAAAUCUCUUUCCAACCCAUCGUUUCUGCCCUUGUUUUCUCCUUGAGAGUCAUUCGCCAGUCACAGGGAGAACAGUCAGUGGGAGAUUUGGGCCAUCCCAUAGUGCUCUUACAACUUUAUGGUUUACAGAGGAUUCUCACACCUCUCCUUCCCCAGAUCUGUCCUCUGUCGUACUUGAGUGGCAAAAAGGGCAUGGCUGUCAUUGAUGUUGAAGGAAACAGAUUGGAAACUAGUGACUUUUGAAGACACACCUAGUUUGCCUCGCUAAACCAGAAACCCUGUUUUGGGCAAGCUGACUGGCCAUUGAGCUCUCUAGAUCUGUUCGUUCCUGCCCCAAUUCCCCGCCCCUCCCAAUGCUGGAAAUACAGGCACAUGGAGCUGUGUCCAUCUAGGGGUUCAAACCUGGGUCCUCAUGCUUAUCGAGCAAGCCCUCUUCCAUGCUGAGCCAUUCCCAUCCCCUGCUCCCAAAGUUAACUUUCAGUGUGGGUCCAGUUAAGAGCAGGGCUGGAAACUAUAGCUUGCUCAGGUGGUGACAGCCAGGUGCCAGCCAGGUGCACACAAAGCCCUGGGAACAUUGUAGCACACACCUAAUCGCAGUACCCAGGACAUAGAUACAGGAGGAUUCUUGGUUAAUAGGGAGUCUGUGGCCAGCCUAGUAUAUGUGAGACCGUGGCUCAAAACUGUUGUUGGUAGACAGCAAGGCAAAGAGUAGGAAGUUUAAGGUUCCCAAAGUCAAGUUUUAAGAAACUCUGGUAAAGCAGGAAGAUGUAACAAAACUAUUGACAAAAUAAUUGCAAGCCUGAGUCUGCCUAAGCAACGGAACGCUGAACUGUUCACCUUCUCCUCCGCCUCUGUAGAGUGGGGUAUGGAAUUCCUCCCCGCCUUAAGUCACAUUAGAAUGGUGCGAAAGUGUGUUGAGGCUUCGAAGGAAUUGGUUGUGCUAGUGUCUGUCUAUCCAGGCCCUACCUUCUCUUUGCCGAGAAACCCAAUUACUAAGUACAGUUGAGCUUACUGCCCACACAUUCUGAAGUGGGGAGGACAGAAGGCCUGGAGAAUCCCUGCAAUCAUUCUGGGAACAAGUCCUAGCGCAUGUCACUGUUUGCUCUGUCAUCCCAAUUCAAUGACCUCAUAUGAGGAAGGGCGGAGCCGAGGGAGCUGUCCUCCAGAUACCUAAAGAGGCUCCUGACAUACUGUUUUCAUUGGCAGGGAGCAGGCCCAGGGUUGGUGUUUGAAGUCUGAGCUAAUCUUGGAAAAGAAGAACAGUACCUCCCACAGCUGGCCAGGCUUCUGGGGGAGCUGUCCCAAGCUGCCCCAGAGAGUGCUGGUGUGGGCACUGGAGUCCAGGACACACUGCCAUGGCCCCAUGUUCUCAUCAGCCACCGCACUCCCUGAGUGAGGACAUGCCAUCAUUGAGGCAUCCAGGGCCUGGGGCUGGGACAGCUCCUAAAUUGAUUGUUAUGGGAUUACUGGCCUGGAUUGGCAGAGGGUGCAGUAAUCUCGGGAGCUGGAGAGCGUCACUGACCUCAAGCAUCUAUCCUUGAGGUUGCCUCCUGUGGACCUGGUCUUUUAGGGAAACAAGUCAGGCAUGUGUCAAAAGGCCGGGUAGGACCUCUCAGUGUCCCUUCACCACAAGGACUCCUCUUAUCCAUCCUUUGAAUACUUAACAAUGUGUUCAGUUGGUUGAGAUGCAUGGCUGUGAUUUUUAGUUGUUUUUUUUUUUUUUUUUAAAGACAGUCUUGCUAUGUAGCUCAGGCUAGCCUUGAACCCUCAGUUUUCCUCCUUCAGUCUGGAGUGCUAGGAUUACAGUUAAACCUGCUUAAACUAAGGUUUGAAUAAAGGAUUUUUUUUUGGUCCCC
rnacentral:lncRNA from 1 species